rnacentral:lncRNA from 1 species
UUUGCCUGACCAGAGAUAACAAACAGGAUACCUUAUUCUGGUUUCUGAUUUCUCUUUUAUAGGAAAUAUUUUCAUGCCAUCCAUAGAACAAUAAAGGAAGCCAAAUGGAACCCCUGCGCCUCGCUCCCUGAAUCCAAGCAGCGAUGCCGCUACCCCGUGUUAAGGAUCCGUUUCUGAUUUAGAAGGGCCUAGACAUAAGCUCAUGAAGCCGAGCAUCCAAAAGCAAAACUCAACAUCAAACAUGUCUCGAACUAUGACGUGUACUUUCCAAUUUACCCUCGGAGUGGGAAUACUUCUGUCAUCUGUAUAGAAUUUAAAGGAAAAAUGCCCAUUAAGGAGGAGAAGGGGCUCCCCUUGCUCCUUCUGUCCGUCCUCUGUCAGAAUAAGAACUUCAGGCCAUGCGCGGUGGCUCAUGCCUACAAUCCCAGCACUUUAGGAGGCCGAGGUGGGCAGAUUGCUCGAGCUCAGGAGUUCGAGACCAGCCUGGGCAACAUGACGAAAUCCCAUCUCUACAAAAAACAGAAAAAUUAGCCAGACAUGGUGGCACACACCUGUAGUUCCAGCUACUCGGGAGGCUGAGGUGAGGGGGAUCGCUUGAAUCCAGGAGGACAAGGCUGCAGUGAGCUAUGAUCAUACUACUGCACUCCAUCAGACCAACACCCUGUCUCAAAAUAUAAAAAAUAAAAAUUGGCCGGGCACCGUGGCUCACGACUAUAAUCCCAGCACUUUGGGAGGCCCAGGCGGGUGGAUCACGAGGUCAGGAGAUCAAGACCGUCCUGUCUAACAAGGUGAAAACACAUCUCUACUCAAAAUACAAAAAAUUAGCCGGGCGUGGUGGCAGGUGCCUGUAAUCCCAGCUCCUCGGGAGGCUGAGGCAGGAGAAUCGCUUGAAUCCAGGGGGCAGAGAAUGCAGUGAGCUGAGAUCACACCACUGCACUCCAGUCUGGUGACAGAGCAAGACUCUAUCUUAAAAAAAAAAAAAAAAAGGCAGUGGGGCUAAAGAGAAAAAGAGGCAGGGCAUGGUGGCUUACUCCUGUAAUCCCAGCAAUUUGGGAGGCCAAGGCAGGAGGAUUGCUUGAGUCCAGGAGUUCAAGACCAGCCUGGACAACAUAGCAAGACCCUACCUCUACAAAAAAUGUAAAAAUUAGCCAGGUGUGGUGGUGCAUGCCUAUAGUCCUAGCUACCCAGGAGGCUAAGGCAGAAGGAUUGCCUAAAUCCAGCAGUUGGAGGCUGCAGUGAGCCAUGAUCAUGCCACAGCACUCUAGCCUGGGCAACAGAGAGAUACUCUGUCUCAAAAGAGAGGGAGAAAAAAAGGGAAUCUCAAAAUUGGGGUUCAUUGUGAAAAUUAAGGUAUUCUUAUUUUAUUUUUUAGGGGAGGAAAACUGUCUUUUCCUCACACAUGGCUAAGACACCCAUAACAAAAGACAGAUUAACAAGAGAAAAGCAUACAUACAGAUUGAUUUAAUGUAAGUUUUGUUUGUUUGUUUGUUUGUUUUGGAGACGGAGUCUCGCUCUGUUUUCUAGCCUAGAGUGCAGUGGCGCGAUCUCGGCUCACUGCAACCUCUGCCUCCCAGGUUCAAGCAAUUCUCCUGCCUCAAGCUCCCAAGUAGCUGCGACUACAGGCGCAUGCCACCACGCCUGGCUAAUUUUUUGUGUUUUUUAGUAGAGAUAGGGUUUCACUGUGUUAGCCGGGAUGGUCUCAAUCUCCUGACCUUAUGAUCCACCUGCCUCAGCCUCCCAAAGUGCUGGGAUUACAGGCAUGAGCCACCACGCUGGGCAGAUUUAAUGUAAGUUUUACAUGGCAAAGGAGCCUUCAGAAAUGAAGACCCGGCCGGGUGUGGUGGAGCGCACCUGUAACCCCAGCUACUCAGGAGGCUGAGACCGGAGAAUCACUUCAACCCAGAAGGCAGAGAUUGCAGUGAGCCCAGAUGAAGCCACUGCACUCCAGCUUGGGCAACAGAGGGAGACUCUGUCUCAAAACAAACAAACAAAUAAACAAACAAACAAAUGAAGACACAAAGAAACAGUCAACCUGAGUGUUUGUUAUAGUAGGUUUGAAGAAGAGUGGACAGUUGUGGAGAAAUAUGAGCAGGCAAAAAGAGAAUGAUCUAAUAGUAAUAAACUGGGGGAAACUAAGCCAGGCCUGUUUGUUCCAGUUCUUCCCUGUGACCCUGUGUCUUCAGAGA